rnacentral:rRNA from 1 species
UUUUUGUAUUACGACUAAAGGACCCGAAUUUGGGUGAUCUAAUAUCAUAUUUUUUUCUCAUCGAAAAGAGAAUUAAAAAACUUUAGCUCCAAAAAAGAUAACCGGACCCAAAAUACUGAUAAUGACAACAAUAAGGAAAUUAAUAAUAUAAAAAUUUACCAAUGAGGGUAAUCUUAAAUAAAAUAUUUUCAAAAAAAUUUUAAAAAAAAAAUAGUCAUUUUUAUAAAAUCUUUAGAAUUAAAAAAUAUUAAAAAGAACUCAAAAUAAAUUAUAUCCCCGACUGUUUAACAAAAACAUUUCUUCGAAUUAAUAUUAGAAGUAAGCCCUGCUCAAAUAAAUAUUUAAAAAAGCCAUUUUAUUGCAAAGGUAGCGUAAUUACUAGCCGCUUAAUUAGCGGAUUGUCUGAACGGGUUAACGCGGGAUAAAUUUUCUUUUAAUUAAAAAAAUAAGUCAGAGGUUAAAUCUCCUCUAACAUUAGAACAGACGAUAAGACCCUUUAAUCUUAAUCUUUAGUUGGGGCAACUAAGGUGGUUAUAACCUUCUAAUACAUUAUAAAAUCUUUCAUUUGCAAAAAAGAUACUAAAGGGAUAACAGCAUAAUAUUUUCUUAGAAGAUCUCAUUUUAAGAAAAGAGUAUGACCUCGAUGUUGAACCAGAGAAAAU